rnacentral:rRNA from 1 species
GAGGAAGUAAAAGUCGUAACAAGGUUUCCGUAGGUGAACCUGCGGAAGGAUCAUUACUGAAUUGUCAAACGGGUUGUUGCUGGCCCUCAUAGGGGGCAUGUGCACGCUCUGUUUACACAUCCACUCACACCUGUGCACCCUCUGUAGUUCUAUGGUCUGGGGGACCCUGUCUUCCUUCUGUGGUUCUACGUCUUUACACACACACUGUAAUAAAGUUUUAUGGAAUGUACAUCGCGUCUAACGCAAUACAAUACAACUUUCAGCAACGGAUCUCUUGGCUCUCGCAUCGAUGAAGAACGCAGCGAAAUGCGAUAAGUAAUGUGAAUUGCAGAAUUCAGUGAAUCAUCGAAUCUUUGAACGCACCUUGCGCCCCUUGGCUAUUCCGAGGGGCAUGCCUGUUUGAGUAUCAUGAACACCUCAACUCUCAUGGUUUGCCAUGAUGAGUUGGACUCUGGGGGUUUUGCUGGCCUGUGGUCGGCUCCUCUCAAAUUAAUCAGCCUCCCAGUGUUUGGUGGCAUCACGGGUGUGAUAAAUAUCUACGCUCGCUGUUGUCUGCCAGGUAACCUUUGGUCACAAAGGUUUGCUGGAGCUCACAGAUGUCUCUCCUCAGCGAGGACAGCUUUUUUAACGUUCGAUCUCAAAUCAGGUAGGACUACCCGCUGAACUUAAGCAUAUCAAUAA